GACGAACGCUGGCGGCGUGCUUAACACAUGCAAGUCGAACGGAAAGGCCCUGCUUUUGUGGGGUGCUCGAGUGGCGAACGGGUGAGUAACACGUGAGUAACCUGCCCUUGACUUUGGGAUAACUUCAGGAAACUGGGGCUAAUACCGGAUAGGAGCUCCUGCUGCAUGGUGGGGGUUGGAAAGUUUCGGCGGUUGGGGAUGGACUCGCGGCUUAUCAGCUUGUUGGUGGGGUAGUGGCUUACCAAGGCUUUGACGGGUAGCCGGCCUGAGAGGGUGACCGGCCACAGUGGGACUGAGAUACGGCCCGGACUCCUACGGGAGGAAGCAGUGGGGAAUAUUGCACAAUGGGCGGAAGCCUGAUGCAGCAACGCCGCGUGCGGGAUGACGGCCUUCGGGUUGUAAACCGCUUUCGCCUGUGACGAAGCGUGAGUGACGGUAAUGGGUAAAGAAGCACCGGCUAACUACGUG
rnacentral:rRNA from 1 species